rnacentral:sRNA from 1 species
UUACUUCUUCGGGUAUUGGUUUAGCCACUGGCGCGCCUGAUACCCCGCAGGCGCCCGAGCAAGCAGGGUCGCCACCAGAGCAGUUUUCACAACCCCGGUCGGCUACCCGACCGGGG